rnacentral:misc_RNA from 1 species
CAACCCUCAAGCCCCCGUGGCUUGGUGUUGGGGAUCGGCCGCAGCCUUCACGGCAGGCGGCCGGCCCCGAAAUCUAGUGGCGGUCUCGCUGUAGUCCCCCUCUGCGUAGUAAUACACCUCGCACUGGAAGCUCGGCCUGACCACGCCGUAAAACCCCCCACUUCUGAA